rnacentral:miRNA from 1 species
AAAUUUGGCACUGACAUCUCU